rnacentral:rRNA from 1 species
UACCUGCAGCUCGAGUGGUGGCCGCUAUUAUUGGGCCUAAAACGUCCGUAGCCGGUUUAAUAAAUGCCUGGGUAAAUCGUGUAGCUUAACUAUACGAAUUCCGGGUAGACUGUUGGACUUGAGACCGGGAGAAGCUAGAGGUACUCCUGGGGUAGAGGUGAAAUUCUGUAAUCCUAGGGGGACCACCAGUGGCGAAGGCGUCUAGCUAGAACGGGUCUGACGGUGAGGGACGAAGCCCUGGGGCGCAAACCGGAUUAGAUACCCGGGUAGUCCAGGGUGUAAACGCUGCUUGCUUGAUGUUAGUUGGGCUCUGAGCCCAAUUAGUGUCGGAGAGAAGUUGUUAAGCAAGCUGCCUGGGAAGUACGGUCGCAAGACUGAAACUUAAAGGGAUUGGCGGGGGAGCACCACAAGGCGUGAAGCUUGCGGUUC